CUUUCGGGCGGGGCGGACACCAGCCGCGCGCCCUCGCCGGGCGCCGGGACCGGAAAAUCACCGCGAAGGGAGGGACGAGGAAAGGCGGCGGGUGGCUUCAGGACAAGGACUUUGUGAUUACAUUGGGCCCAUCCAGAUCAUCCAGGAUCAUCUUCCCAUCUCAAGAUUCUUCACUUAAUCACAUCUGCAAAAUUCCUUUUGCUGUGUAAGGUUGAUUCUGUUAUACAAGUACAGAAUAACUGCAGUACAAAACAGCAAUCAAGUCUGAACAGGAAAUCUCUGGACAAA
rnacentral:lncRNA from 10 species